UAGGGAAUCUUCCACAAUGGACGCAAGUCUGAUGGAGCAACGCCGCGUGAGUGAAGAAGGUCUUCGGAUCGUAAAACUCUGUUGUUAGAGAAGAACACGAGUGAGAGUAACUGUUCAUUCGAUGACGGUAUCUAACCAGCAAGUCACGGCUAACUACGUGCCAGCAGCCGCGGUAAUACGUAGGUGGCAAGCGUUGUCCGGAUUUAUUGGGCGUAAAGGGAACGCAGGCGGUCUUUUAAGUCUGAUGUGAAAGCCUUCGGCUUAACCGGAGUAGUGCAUUGGAAACUGGAAGACUUGAGUGCAGAAGAGGAGAGUGGAACUCCAUGUGUAGCGGUGAAAUGCGUAGAUAUAUGGAAGAACACCAGUGGCGAAAGCGGCUCUCUGGUCUGUAACUGACGCUGAGGUUCGAAAGCGUGGGUAGCAAACAGGAUUAGAUACCCUGGUAGUCCACGCCGUAAACGAUGAAUGCUAGGUGUUGGAGGGUUUCCACCCUUCAGUGCCGCAGCUAACGCAAUAAGCAUUCCGCCUGGGGAGUACGACCGCAAGGUUG
rnacentral:rRNA from 1 species